AUACAUGCAAGUCGAACGCGUCUUGGUCAAUGAUUUUAGGUGCUUGCACUUGACUGAUUUGACAUUGAGACGAGUGGCGAACUGGUGAGUAACACGUGGGUAACCUGCCCUUGAAGUAGAGGAUAACACUUGGAAACAGGUGCUAAUACUGCAUAACAACGAAAACCGCCUGGUUUUCGUUUGAAAGAUGGCUUCGGCUAUCGCUUUAGGAUGGACCCGCGGCGUAUUAGCUAGUUGGUGAGGUAACGGCUCACCAAGGCAAUGAUACGUAGCCGACCUGAGAGGGUAAUCGGCCACAUUGGGACUGAGACACGGCCCAAACUCCUACGGGAGGCAGCAGUAGGGAAUCUUCCACAAUGGACGAAAGUCUGAUGGAGCAACGCCGCGUGAGUGAUGAAGGGUUUCGGCUCGUAAAACUCUGUUGUUGGAGAAGAACGGGUGUCAGAGUAACUGUUGACAUCGUGACGGUAUCCAACCAGAAAGCCACGGCUAACUACGUGCCAGCAGCCGCGGUAAUACGUAGGUGGCAAGCGUUGUCCGGAUUUAUUGGGCGUAAAGCGAGCGCAGGCGGUUUUUUAGGUCUGAUGUGAAAGCCUUCGGCUUAACCGGAGAAGUGCAUCGGAAACCGGGAGACUUGAGUGCAGAAGAGGACAGUGGAACUCCAUGUGUAGCGGUGAAAUGCGUAGAUAUAUGGAAGAACACCAGUGGCGAAGGCGGCUGUCUGGUCUGCAACUGACGCUGAGGCU
rnacentral:rRNA from 1 species